rnacentral:ncRNA from 2 species
CACUCAUCCAGAGGGGCAGAGGGACACGGCCCGAUGAAGCCCCGGCAACCGCCGUCCGACGCGAUUUCCGCGCCGACGGGAGGUGCCAAUUCCGUCCCGCGCGGCUCGACGGCCCGCAGCGGGGAAGAUGAGGA